ensembl:lncRNA GIHCG GIHCG inhibitor of miR-200b/200a/429 expression
GGAGUUACGCAGGCAGGGUUGUGGUUGCUGGCUGUUACCAGGACAACCGGAGGCGAUUGACCGUUAUCUGCGGUUUGGAGCCGUUAGCGGGAGAGGCAGAGAUAUUCAGAGGUCUUUUAGGAUGCGCUAAAGGGUCGUGAGGGCUCUCUUAAAAUUUUCUUCACAAGCGGUUAUCCAGUCGUGCCCCGCGGCCCUGCUGCUGGCCCCGGGGAUCUGAGUCGUACCCUCUUGUUUUUCUCUGAGUCAGUCUUAAGGUGAAAUGAAGUGUGGCCCAGUGGCUCCUCACUGUCGCUUCUCUAGUUUUCUGCCUCCUUUUAGAAAAUUGAAUUGAAAAGACAGGAUGAAGUGGACACAGCAUGUGAAGACAAUUCUUUCAAGAAGUUUGGCUGUCAAGGAAAACAGAGAAUGUGAGUAGCCAAAGCAGAAUGACAGUGAAAGAAAGAAAUUGGGAGCCAGACAAUACAGCCCGACAGUUUACGCCUGUACGGAUGUACCUCUUUCACAAAAGAUUGAGUAUGCUUGGGGAAAAAAAAUACACACUAUAAUAGGAGAAAAUGAUGAAGAGAAACUGAGGUAAAGGUAAUUGGAAAACAAAAUAAAGCCAGGGGUAUAUUAAUACCCCAAAACUUCAUACCAAAAGGUCCGUGUAUUUACUAGAGGGGUGCCACAAAUUGGGCUCUGAGGUUCCUAGCAAUUAAACCAAAGGGAAAAUAUAAGUUUAACAUGAUCCGUAUGAGGGAGGAGGCCUAAUGGCAUAUUAUAGAAUCCUGUUACACAUUAGCUGUAUGAAAUUGAUUGGGUAAUGUAAGCUCUUUAGACCUCAUUUCUCCGUCUCUUAAAGAGUGGGGAGAGGAAGCAGGAGACUGUUAGACGAGUUGAUCUUUUAAUAUCUCUUCCACUACUGACAGUCUAUGAUCAUAUAGGCCAGAGACGGCAAACUCAGAUGCCUAAAUUAGGGACUAAGAAAGUUUCAUAAGUGAGGAAAUGGACUGAAUGUGACAAAAGCAAGGAGUGAUAGAGAUUGGAAUGUUAGAGUUGAUUGAGCUGUCCCAUCUAAAACUCCAGCCAAUUCUUGCAAAAAUAAGGACUCAGUGUUGCCUGAUUUUUCAGGAGAAACAGGAAAAUCAUAUUUUUGAUAAUAUUAUACAAAACAAAACACCUCUACUAGCUAGAUACAAUUUGUGGGUCACUAAUUUUCAACCUCUGCUAUAGGUGAAAGGACCUCAACAAGAGGGAUAAUUGCUUGAAUUAAAGAAUUAAAUAUGAAAAAGAGGAAGAAGUCAAAAAGAAUACCAAGAUUUCCCCUUGGUAAUAAGAAGGAGUUAGUAACAUUGAUACUAAAAUCAGCAGAAGGUUUGGGGAGAGAAGGUGCUUUAUUGUGAGUUUCUUGAACAUGGGGCAAACUUAUUUAUGUGUAUCCAUAGCACAUGAAUCCAAUUCAGCUGCUGGAUUUGAGAAAUCUGUGGGAUUUAUCAGGGGAAAGGGCGCAGGAAUGUAGGUCAGGAGUUUGGGGAAAGAAGAUGAAAAAGGAGUUUAAGAUGUAAGAUUCAUUCUUUCAAUAAAGUUUUAUUGAUUAUAUAUCACAAUAUGUAUUUUCACGAGACUCUAAACUGUCUGAGGGCAGAAAGCACGGGGUUUUUUUUAACCACUUACCCAGCUCCUAGCACAAUACAUAGUCAGUGCUUAUGUAUGUUGAAAAAACAAAUGAAAAAAUACAAAACACUGUGCUUUACAGUAUAGGAGAUGCAGAGUUGAAUUAGAAAAUCUUAAGGGAACAAGAAACACUGGGGUCUGCUUGAGGGUGGAGGGUGGGAGCAUGCAGAGGAGCAGAAAAAAUAACUAUUGGGUACUAGGCUUAAUACGUGGGUGAUGAAAUAAUCUUUACAACAAACCUUCAUGUGUACCCCCAAACCUAAAAUAAAAGUUUAAAAAGAAGAAAAUCUUCUUAAAGAAGUUUAUAGAGCAG